UACGUAGGGUGCGAGCGUUGUCCGGAAUUAUUGGGCGUAAAGAGCUUGUAGGCGGUCUGUCGCGUCUGCUGUGAAAAUCCGGGGCUCAACCCCGGACUUGCAGUGGGUACGGGCAGACUAGAGUGUGGUAGGGGAGACUGGAAUUCCUGGUGUAGCGGUGAAAUGCGUAGAUAUCAGUCGGAACACCCGUGGCGAAGGCGGCUUCUUGGGCCGUUCCUGACGCUGAUGCGCGAAAGCCAGGGGAGCGAACGGG
rnacentral:rRNA from 1 species